GUGCUUACUUCAGCAGCACACAUACUAAAAUUGGAAUGAUAUGGAGAAGAUUAGCAUGGCCCCUGCAUAAGGAUGACAUGCAAAUUUGUGAAGCAUUCCAUAUUUUU